rnacentral:rRNA from 1 species
AGAGUUUGAUCAUGGCUCAGGACGAACGCUGGCGGCGUGCCUAAUACAUGCAAGUCGAACGCUGAUUGUUUAACCGAUGCUUGCAUCAACCAAACAAUCGGAGUGGCGAACGGGUGAGUAACACGUGGGUAACCUGCCUAUUAGAGGGGGAUAACACUUGGAAACAGGUGCUAAUACCGCAUAAGAGCGAUAACCGCAUGGUUAUUGUUUAAAAGGCGCUUAUGGUGUCACUGAUAGAUGGACCCGCGGUGCAUUAGCUAGUCGGUGGGGUAAAGGCCUACCGAGGCGAUGAUGCAUAGCCGACCUGAGAGGGUGAUCGGCCACAUUGGGACUGAGACACGGCCCAAACUCCUACGGGAGGCAGCAGUAGGGAAUCUUCGGCAAUGGACGAAAGUCUGACCGAGCAACGCCGCGUGAGUGAAGAAGGUUUUCGGAUCGUAAAGCUCUGUUGUUAGAGAAGAACAAGUAGAAUAGUAACUGAUUCUACCUUGACGGUAUCUAACCAGAAAGCCACGGCUAACUACGUGCCAGCAGCCGCGGUAAUACGUAGGUGGCAAGCGUUGUCCGGAUUUAUUGGGCGUAAAGCGAGCGCAGGCGGUCUUUUAAGUCUGAUGUGAAAGCCUCCGGCUUAACCGGAGAGGGUCAUUGGAAACUGGGAGACUUGAGUGCAGAAGAGGAAAGUGGAACUCCAUGUGUAGCGGUGGAAUGCGCAGAUAUAUGGAAGAACACCAAUGGCGAAGGCAGCUUACUGGACAGAGAUUGACGCUGAGAUGCGAAAGCGUGGGGAGCAAACAGGAUUAGAUACCCUGGUAGU